UCUAUGCUCAAUUCAGCAUAAAGUACUCUAACAUUGGAACAAUACAGAGAAGAUUAGAAUGGCCUCUGAGAAAGGAUGACAGGCAAAUUCCUGAACCAUUCCAUACUUUU